rnacentral:rRNA from 1 species
UUGCCUCAGUACGGCGAGUGAGCGGCAACAGCUCAAAUUUGAAAUCUGGCCGCAAGGUCCGAGUUGUAAUUUGCAGAGGAUGCUUUUGGCGAGGUGCCUUCCGAGUUCCCUGGAACGGGACGCCAUAGAGGGUGAGAGCCCCGUACGGUUGGACCACCGAGCCUCUGUAAAGCUCCUUCGACGAGUCGAGUAGUUUGGGAAUGCUGCUCUAAAUGGGAGGUGUACGUCUUCUAAAGCUAAAUACCGGCCAGAGACCGAUAGCGCACAAGUAGAGUGAUCGAAAGAUGAAAAGCACUUUGAAAAGAGGGUUAAAAAGUACGUGAAAUUGUUGAAAGGGAAGCGUUUAUGACCAGACUUGGGCUUGGUUGAACAUCCGGCGUUCUCGCCGGUGCACUCUGCCAGUCCAGGCCAGCAUCAGUUUGUCCCGGGGGAUAAAGGCGGUGGGAAUGUGGCUCCCCCGGGAGUGUUAUAGCCCGCCGUGCAAUGCCCUGGGACGGACUGAGGAACGCGCUUCGGCACGGAUGCUGGCGUAAUGGUCAUCAACGACCCGUCUUGAACCAACGGGACCA